AUGCAAGUCGAGCGGUAAGGCCCCUUCGGGGGUACACGAGCGGCGAACGGGUGAGUAACACGUGAGUAACCUGCCCCUGACUCUGGGAUAAGCCUGGGAAACUGGGUCUAAUACCGGAUAUGACCUCGUGCCGCAUGGUGUGGGGUGGAAAGGUGUUUUUCCGGUCAGGGAUGGGCUCGCGGCCUAUCAGCUUGUUGGUGGGGUAACGGCCUACCAAGGCGAUGACGGGUAGCCGGCCUGAGAGGGCGACCGGCCACACUGGGACUGAGACACGGCCCAGACUCCUGCGGGAGGCAGCAGUGGGGAAUAUUGCGCAAUGGGCGGAAGCCUGACGCAGCGACGCCGCGUGGGGGAUGAAGGCCUUCGGGUUGUAAACCUCUUUUACCACUCACGAAGGCCCCUGGUUUUCUGGGGGUUGACGGUAGGUGGUGAAUAAGGACCGGCUAACUACGUGCCAGCAGCCGCGGUAAUACGUAGGGUCCGAGCGUUGUCCGGAAUUAUUGGGCGUAAAGAGCUCGUAGGCGGCCUGUCGCGUCUGCUGUGAAAGUCCGGGGCUUAACUCCGGGUGUGCAGUGGAUACGGGCAGGCUUGAGGUAGGUAGGGGAGACUGGAAUUCCUGGUGUAGCGGUGAAAUGCGCAGAUAUCAGGAGGAACACCGGUGGCGAAGGCGGGUCUCUGGGCCUUACCUGACGCUGAGGAGCGAAAGCGUGGGGAGCGAACAGGAUUAGAUACCCUGGUAGUCCACGCCGUAAACGUUGGGCGCUAGGUGUGGGGACUUUCCACGGUUUCCGUGCCGUAGCUAACGCAUUAAGCG
rnacentral:rRNA from 1 species